GAUGAACGCUGGCGGCGUGCCUAACACAUGCAAGUCGAGCGAAAAGACGAGGAGCUUGCUCCUCUGACGUUAGCGGCGGACGGGUGAGUAACACGUGGAUAACCUACCUAUAUUACUGGGAUAACUUCGGGAAACCGGAGCUAAUACCAGAUAAUAUAUUGAACCGCAUGGUUCAAUAGUGAAUGACGGCUUUGCUGUCUCUACUAGAUGGUUCCGCGCCGCAUUAGCUAGUUGGUAAGGUAACGGCUUACCAAGGCAACGAUGCGUAGCCGACCUGAGAGGGUGAUCGGCCACACUGGAACUGAGACACGGUCCAGACUCCUACGGGAGGCAGCAGUAGGGAAUCUUCCGCAAUGGGCGAAAGCUUGACGGAGCAACGCCGCGUGAGUGAUGAAGGUCUUCGGAUCGUAAAACUCUGUUAUUAGGGAAGAACAAAUGUGUAAGUAACUAUGGACGUCUUGACGGUACCUAAUCAGAAAGCCACGGCUAACUACGUG
rnacentral:rRNA from 1 species